rnacentral:rRNA from 1 species
UAGCUAGUUGGUAAGGUAACGGCUUACCAAGGCGACGAUCAGUAGCCGACCUGAGAGGGUGAUCGGCCACAUUGGAACUGAGACACGGUCCAAACUCCUACGGGAGGCAGCAGUGGGGAAUAUUGCACAAUGGGCGAAAGCCUGAUGCAGCAACGCCGCGUGAGUGAUGAAGGCCUUCGGGUCGUAAAACUCUGUCCUCAAGGAAGAUAAUGACGGUACUUGAGGAGGAAGCCCCGGCUAACUACGUGCCAGCAGCCGCGGUAAUACGUAGGGGGCUAGCGUUAUCCGGAUUUACUGGGCGUAAAGGGUGCGUAGGCGGUCUUUCAAGUCAGGAGUGAAAGGCUACGGCUCAACCGUAGUAAGCUCUUGAAACUGGGAGACUUGAGUGCAGGAGAGGAGAGUGGAAUUCCUAGUGUAGCGGUGAAAUGCGUAGAUAUUAGGAGGAACACCAGUUGCGAAGGCGGCUCUCUGGACUGUAACUGACGCUGAGGCACGAAAGCGUGGGGAGCAAACAGGAUUAGAUACCCUGGUAGUCCACGCUGUAAACGAUGAGUAC